rnacentral:snoRNA from 1 species
ACCUUCCAGAGGCCUUAUUCAUCAGACCUAAACACGGGUCUGAGAAGUUGUAAAAGGGGGAAAAGUAAAGCAGACACCGACUGAAAUUCUUUUGUGACACACAGGCUCGCUUCAAACAGAG